rnacentral:rRNA from 1 species
GACGAACGCUGGCGGCGUGCCUAAAACAUGCAAGUCGAACGAGGGCUUCGGCCCUAGUGGCGAACGGCGGAGUAAUACAUAAGCAACGUGCCCCGAAGACCGGGAUAGCGGCGGGAAACUGCCAGUAAUACCGGAUGUGGCCGCGAGGUGGCAUCACCACGCGAUUAAACGGAUUUUCGCUUCGGGAGCGGCUUAUGGCCUAUCAGGUAGUUGGUGGGGUAAUGGCCUACCAAGCCUACGACGGGUAGCGGGUCUGAGAGGACGAUCCGCUCGAGUGGGACUGAGACACGGCCCAGACUCCUACGGGAGGCAGCAGUGAGGAAUAUUGCGCAAUGGAGGCAACUCUGACGCAGCCAUGCCGCGUGCAGGAAGAAGGCGCUACGCGUUGUAAACUGCUUUUAACCGGGAAGAAACCCCAGGACGUGUCCUGGGUUGACGGUACCGGAGGAAUAAGCACCGGCUAACUUCGUG